GGAGAUUGCAAACUGAAGGAUGUAACUGUAGGAUUUCCUUGAUGCGAUUGCGUAUACAGCCAGAAGACAAGCUGGACCUUCCAAGGCAGCAGUAAUUCCUUCAACAGUGACAAUUGCUGCGUCUCUCCCUACAUAUCUGGAGUCGCCUUUGCUGUAUUCCUUCCAGAGUUCGGCCAAAUAAACCGAAGAUUUUUUCUGGAAGAAAUCUGGAGUGAAGGCAAAAUAGCCCUCCAGGAUAAUGUGCGUCAGGCCAGUAAAAAUCCACCAACAC
rnacentral:misc_RNA from 1 species